AUGGAGGGAGUAGCUUCUUAUUUAUUAAUUUUCUAUGAAAUAAAAUUUCUAUCAGAAAAUCCAAUAAGGUUUACAAUCCAAAACCUAAAUUCAAAACCAAACACAAUUACACAACAAUUGUUUUCCUAUAAACAAAAGAAUAAGAGAAUAUUUCAAUUUGAUCAUGAUAAUCGUAGAUAUUUAGAUCUGAUGCGAUAUUUCAAGCGAGAGAGCACGAAUUGGGUCGAUUAUUCAAUGAUUUGCAACGAAAAGUUCAAUCUAACCCUAAAUCAUUUUUUCUUCGCAAAUUUGCAUGUAAAUCAAAGAGAUUAUAGUCAUAAACAAUAA